GGGAUGGGGCAGUCAAGAGGUGUCAAGGGUACAACAUAUUCUGAAACCUGUGACAUGCUGGUCCAAUUUACUGAUGAUACUGGUGGUCUGGAAGAGGGAACUGACACUGGUGGUCCAAGACGAGAGUUUUUAACUCUACUAAUGAAACGCCUAAAAGACCGGCCCAUUUUUGAUGGACCAGAAGGACAUCGUUUCUCGGUCUACAAUGCAAAUGAUUAAGAAUGCUGCGUCAUUGGAUGCUCUGCAAGAAUGUCUGAUGAGACACAGCACAAGGUUACAGACUACUGUGGAAGAAAAGGGAGAAAUCGUGUCAGACUACCUCCAAUGGUAUAUCAUUGACCGCAACUCCUCUGUAAUUGACGGGAUGCUCUGCUGAUCUCACUUUUAUGUUGAUUUUAUCUUACUGUAUUUGUAUUUUUUUUUUUUUUUGAGAAUGUUUUUAUGU